UACGAAGGGGGCUAGCGUUGCUCGGAAUCACUGGGCGUAAAGGGUGCGUAGGCGGGUCUUUAAGUCAGGGGUGAAAUCCUGGAGCUCAACUCCAGAACUGCCUUUGAUACUGAGGAUCUUGAGUUCGGGAGAGGUGAGUGGAACUGCGAGUGUAGAGGUGAAAUGCGCAGAUAUUGGGAGGAACACCAGUGGCGAAGGCGGCUCACUGGACCGGUUCUGACGCUGAGGCGCGAAAGCGUGGGGAGCAAACGGG
rnacentral:rRNA from 1 species